rfam:Gorilla gorilla gorilla genomic chromosome, chr6, whole genome shotgun sequence
GCUGGGCGUGGUGGCGCAUGCCUGUAGUCCCAGCUACUCAGGAGGCUGAGGUGGGAGGAUUGCUUGAGCCUGGGAGUUUGAGGCUGCAGUGAUAGGUGAUCACACCACUGCAUUCCAGCCUAGGUGACAGGGCAAGACCCUGUCUCAA